rnacentral:rRNA from 1 species
UACCUUCAUCAAAAGAUGACCAAAACUCAAGCGCAGAGGCAACGACUUACCUUGAGCAGGGAGCAGUUCAUGAAGGUUAUUCCUCGUUGGUGCUAUGGAAAGGAUGACGGAUGGGCGAGUUUGGUGGAUAGGUGGCUCGGCGAUGAUGCAGAGUUUGCUGCCAAGAGCAGCAAGGCCCGAGCUAACCAUGGAAAAGACGGGACACACGGCCAAGGAAAUAGGAACCACUGGGGCUUCAAGGCCAUGAAGGAGGACAAGUUGAAGAGGCCGCUCUCAAACAUUGAGUCAUGGAAGCUGGCCCGCGAGCGGAGUGAUUGCAAG